AGAAUGGGCAGAUGAAUCUCUGAACAAGACAGCUCAUGACACGGUUUAUUGGAGCCUUCCUCAAAACCCAUCCAAGAAAAAGCAUUCCCAGAAGCACGGAGAAGUGAGGAGAAAAGGCAAUGCACCUGGAGCUGGAGACCAAGGCCCUGUUCUUACUGAUGGCCCUUGGAGCAGAUAUUUGAAUUGGAGAGAUAAAACCGUGGUUUUUGGGGUGUUAAUUUUGGUGGCUGAUGCAUUCUGUGAUUGAUUUGGCUAUUACAACUGGUAUUGAUUUUAAACACAUUAAUUGCAAAAUCUCAAUUGUGAUUUGAUUUCUGUAUUUACAAUACUAAAAACGAGGCUUUCGCCAGGAGAAGACAAUUGGCAGUACUCAGUUGGAAGUGCUUAAUUGUUAAUAUAUAUCAGCCGUGGUUCUUCAGCGUCGUCAGUGUUGCUCAGUCUUGCUCUUUGUGGCGACUACUGAAUGCUUGAAAAAUUCUCUCCUAUACUCCCACUCUGCACUGUAGAAGAGAAAGAGAGGAGAGUGGAAGAAAAAAGAGAGGGAGAGGAGAAAGAAAGAGAGGAGAGAGAAACAUGGGCAUGGAUGAUACAUAAGAUAAUUCCAGAAGAUUUCAGCAUAGCAGAUAAAAUACAGCAAAUCCUAACCAGCACAGGUUUGAGUGACAAACGGGCCGGUUCCAUGGACACAGGUGACUUCAU
rnacentral:lncRNA from 1 species